UACGGGGGGAGCAAGCGUUGUUCGGAUUUACUGGGCGUAAAGGGCGCGUAGGCGGCCACCGCAAGUCGGUUGUGAAAUCUCUGGGCUUAACCCAGAAAGGUCAACCGAUACUGCGGGGCUAGAGUGCAGAAGGGGCAACUGGAAUUCUCGGUGUAGCGGUGAAAUGCGCAGAUAUCAGGAGGAACACCGAUGGCGAAGGCAGGUCUCUGGGCCGGAUACUGACGCUGAGGAGCGAAAGCGUGGGGAGCGAACAGG
rnacentral:rRNA from 1 species